GAUGAACGCUAGCUACAGGCUUAACACAUGCAAGUCGAGGGGCAGCACAGUGUAGCAAUACACGGGUGGCGACCGGCGCACGGGUGCGUAACGCGUAUCCAACCUUCCCGUUACUCUUGGAUAGCCUUCCGAAAGGGAGAUUAAUACAAGAUGGUAUUCAAAUUCCGCAUGUUAUUUGAAUUAAAGAUUUAUCGGUAACGGAUGGGGAUGCGUGACAUUAGGUAGAUGGCGGGGUAACGGCCCACCUAGCCGACGAUCUUUAGGGGUUCUGAGAGGAAGGUCCCCCACACUGGUACUGAGACACGGACCAGACUCCUACGGGAGGCAGCAGUGAGGAAUAUUGGUCAAUGGGGCGAGAGCCUGAACCAGCCAAGUAGCGUGAAGGAUGACUGCCCUACGGGUUGUAAACUUCUUUUAUACGGGAAUAAAACCUCCACGUGUGGGAGCUUGUAUGUACCGUAUGAAUAAGCAUCGGCUAACUCCGUGCCAGCAGCCGCGGUAAAAGU
rnacentral:rRNA from 1 species